rnacentral:lncRNA from 1 species
UCAAAGCCGGUUUAUAUGUAACAACAAUAAGAGUGGAAUGUCGUACGCAAGGAUUAUAACACUGUGGAAUAUCAUAUUAAUGUAUCGAAUAUUUCAGCGGCAUAACGACAUAUAAAUAUUGAAUCCGCAGAUCAAAGUCCAAUUUAUCGCAAUAAAAUUAAACAACAGCAACUCAAUAUUAUACAUCAUCUACAAAUUAUGUACACUCAUUGAAACAUGAUAAAUAUCCAGCUCAACCUAAUUGAAAUAGCAAGGCAAAAAAACUG